rnacentral:lncRNA from 10 species
AUGAGACCAGUGCUGGCCGAGCCAGUGCCGAGUUCUAUGUCCAGUGAGUAGGCUCGGGUGCAGCCUGACUUCUGAGCAGGUGAGGAAGCACUACCUGAGUGGGGGACCCGAGGCCCACGAGUCUACAGGAAUCUUCUUUGUGGAGACACAGAACGUGCAGAGAUUGCUCGAGACGGAGAUGUGGGCUGAACUCUGCCCCUCGGCCAAAGGCGCCAUCAUCCUCUACAACCGGGUUCAGGGAAGUCCCACUGGAGCGGCCCUAGGGUCCCCAGCCCUACUCCCGCCGCUCUGAAAAUAAUAAACGACUUUAUUCUUGGAUUCCGUUGGCAUCUGCUAUUUCUGUAACAGAGAGGAGCAAUGGGCCCUGAGUGUAGAGGCUCCGGGGCGGAAGCAGCUCCGUAAGAUAUACCUCGCUGCAGAGGGGAGCAACAGCGGAACGGAGACACGGUGGCCGGGCCGAAAACGUCACAAAGCCGCAGAGAGCGGGCUCUGUCCCGCCCGCUCCCCAGGUGGACGUGGUCUUGGCAUCCACGCCAAUGAGAAUGUGAGGGCGGGGCCUGAAUAGACGCAGGAAAUGGCGACGGCCGCGGGUCUGUGAGCAGCGGGGGCGGGGCCUGGUUGUGGCCCCUCCUUCUCCCGUCCCCAAGUUCCCUGGGUGGGAACGGGGUCUUGGGGUCCCUGGCUGGGUGGCCAGACCCCGAAGCCAGCGCUGGGAAGGGCUGCGGAUGCCCGGGUCAGAGGAAGGGGCAGGUCCAAGGACACGCGGGUCUGGUCCUGGGCAAGAACCGCCCCCUCUCCGGGCCUGCUUCAGUCUUCCUUUGCAGAACAACGGGCCAGGCCCCUUCCCUCUGCCCCCGGGUGCUUGAAGUCUAGCCCCAUCCUGGUCCAAUGCGCUCUUGGUAGCCUCCUUUCCCAGCUGCCCGCCCGCCGCCAUGCCGCCCUUACUGCCCCUGCGCCUGUGCCGGCUGUGGCCCCGCAACCCUCCCUCCCGGCUCCUCGGAGCGGCCGCCGGGCAGCGGAGGCUCCCAGGUUUGUCUCAGGUAACCCUCGCCUUCCCUGCUGAGGAUCAGAGAUAGAGAAGACCCCCAAGGUCAUACACCGAUUUAAGCGGCAGAGGAGGAAGUUUGAGUCCAGGUCAAACCCAACGCUCUUACCACAGCUCUAGUGGUUUCCAAGCAUCGCUGUAUCACUGUGCAUAACCCUCUGUGGGGGGUGGGAGAUGGGGAGGUGUCGG